rnacentral:rRNA from 1 species
GACGAACGCUGGCGGCGUGCUUAACACAUGCAAGUCGAACGAUGAAGCGGGUGCUUGCACUCGUGGAUUAGUGGCGAACGGGCGAGUAACACGUGAGUAACCUGUCCUUUUCUUUGGGAUAACGGCUGGAAACGGCUGCUAAUACUGGAUAUUCAGGCUGCAUCGCAUGGUGUGGUUUGGAAAGGUUUUUUCUGGGAUUGGUUGGGCUCGCGGCCUAUCAGCUUGUUGGUGGGGUGAUGGCUUACCAAGGCUUUGACGGGUAGCCGGCAUGAGAGGGUGGUCGGGCGCACUGGGACGGAGAUGCGGCCCAGACUCCGACGGGGGGCAGCAGUGGGGAAUAUUGCACAAUGGAGGAAAGUGUGAUGCAGCGACGCCGAGUGGAGGGUGGAGGCCGUCGGGUUGUGAACUCCUUUUUCAAGCGAAAAAGGCACAGUUUUGGCUGUGUUGAUGGUAGUGGGGGAAGAAGCGCCGGCUAACUACGUG